CCGCGGGGCAGGGAACGCGCGUCCCUCCCGCUGCUCCGGCCUCUCGUGCCGCGACCUUUCUGGUAUCUCCACCUACGUCCCCGUUCGCCGUGAGCUCACCACCGCACAGACGGGAUCUCCUCUGCCCCCAGAGCGCGCACGCCGGCACAACCUCGCCCGCCCCCGCGUUCCAGCGACGUGGCAGCGCCGCUGUUGCCUCCCGCCAGGACAGAAAUGGAGCUGCAGAAGAACAGGAAAGAAUCAGAAGCAGCUGCAGCCCUCUCCCACAUCCUUCUGCAUUAUUUUGCCAUGCCAGAGGCAGGCAGCUGACCCACCUGAGUAGCUCUGGAAGACUAAUUGGCAGGAUGACUUUCACAGACCUUGACUGUGCAGAUGUUGCAAUCAACUGGAAGAACAUCUGAAAUACUUGAACAUUUGAGUGCAGAUAAGACAUUGUUGUAGUGCAACAAUAAAUUGACUGCCCUGUGAGGAGGUCUCCUCUUU
rnacentral:lncRNA from 1 species